ACGAACGCUGGCGGCGUGCUUGACACAUGCAAGUCGAGCGAGAAGCCAAUGUUUGAUUCUUCGGAAGAUUACUUUGGUGGAAAGCGGCGGACGGGUGAGUAACGCGUGGGCAACCUAACCUUAUACAGGGUGGACAACAUCGGGAAACCGGUGCUAAUACCGCAUAACACAUUGAAAUGGAAUCAUUAUGAUGUCAAAGGAGGAAUCCGGUAUAAGAUGGGCCCGCGUCCAAUUAGCUAGUUGGCGAGGUAACGGCUCACCAAGGCGACGAUUGGUAGCCGAACUGAGAGGUUGAUCGGCCACAUUGGGACUGAGACACGGCCCAGACUCCUACGGGAGGCAGCAGUGGGGAAUAUUGCACAAUGGGGGAAACCCUGAUGCAGCAACGCCGCGUGAAGGAUGAAGGUCUUCGGAUUGUAAACUUCUUUGAUUGGGGAAGAAGAAGUGACGGUACCCAAAAAACAAGCCACGGCUAACUACGUGCCAGCAGCCGCGGUAAUACGUAGGUGGCAAGCGUUGUCCGGAAUUACUGGGUGUAAAGGGCGUGUAGGCGGGGAUGCAAGUCAGGUGUGAAAGCCCAUGGCUCAACUGUGGGACUGCAUCUGAAACUGAAUCUCUUGAGUACUGGAGAGGGAAGUGGAAUUCCUAGUGUAGCGGUGAAAUGCGUAGAGAUUAGGAGGAACACCAGUGGCGAAGGCGGCUUCCUGGACAGUAACUGACGCUGAGGCGCGAAAGCGUGGGGAGCAAACAGGAUUAGAUACCCUGGUAGUCCACGCCGUAAACGAUGGAUACUAGGUGUAGGAGGUAUCGACCCCUUCUGUGCCGGAGUUAACACAUUAAGUAUCCCACCUGGGGAAUACGACCGCAAGGUUGAAACUCAAAGGAAUUGACGGGGGCCCGCACAAGCAGUGGAGUAUGUGGUUUAAUUCGAAGCAACGCGAAGAACCUUACCAGGGCUUGACAUCCCUUGACAGCUCUAGAGAUAGAGUUUCCCUUCGGGGCAAGGAGACAGGUGGUGCAUGGUUGUCGUCAGCUCGUGUCGUGAGAUGUUGGGUUAAGUCCCGUAACGAGCGCAACCCUUAUUGUUAGUUGCCAGCAAGUAAAGUUGGGCACUCUAACGAGACUGCCGGUGAUAAAUCGGAGGAAGGUGGGGAUGACGUCAAAUCAUCAUGCCCCUUAUGUCCUGGGCUACACACGUACUACAAUGGCUGGUACAGAGGGGAGCUAAGCCGCGAGGUGGAGCCAAUCCCCAAAACCAGUCCCAGUUCGGAUUGCAGGCUGCAAUUCGCCUGCAUGAAGUGGGAAUUGCUAGUAAUGGCAGGUCAGCAUACUGCCGUGAAUACGUUCCCGGGCCUUGUACACACCGCCCGUCACACCAUGAGAGUUUGCAAC
rnacentral:rRNA from 1 species